GAUGAAGAACGCAGUGAAAUGCGAUAAGUAGUGUGAAUUGCAGAAUUCAGUGAAUCAUCGAAUCUUUGAACGCACAUUGCGCCCUUUGGUAUUCCUUAGGGCAUGCCUGUUCGAGCGUCAUUUAAACCUUCAAGCUAAGCUUGGUGUUGGGUGACUGUCCGCUUCACGGCGGACUCGCCUCAAAAUUAUUGGCGGCCGGUACAUUGGCUUCGAGCGCAGCAGAAACGCGAACUCGGGCCCGUCGUAUUGGCUCCCAGAAGCUAUCUUCACAAUUUUGAUCUCGGAUCAGGUAGGGAUACCCGCUGAACUUAAGCAUAUCAAUAAGCGGAGGA
rnacentral:misc_RNA from 1 species